rnacentral:rRNA from 1 species
UACGUAGGGUGCGAGCGUUAAUCGGAAUUACUGGGCGUAAAGCGUGCGCAGGCGGCGCGUUUAAGACAGGUGUGAAAGCCCCGAGCUUAACUUGGGAAUUGCGCUUGCGACUGGCGUGCUGGAGUGUGGCAGAGGGAGGUGGAAUUCCACGUGUAGCAGUGAAAUGCGUAGAGAUGUGGAGGAACACCGAUGGCGAAGGCAGCCUCCUGGGCCAGCACUGACGCUCAUGCACGAAAGCGUGGAGCAAACAGG